rnacentral:rRNA from 1 species
GACGAACGCUGGCGGCGUGCUUAACACAUGCAAGUCGAACGGAAGGGCCCUGCUUUUGUGGGGUGCUCGAGUGGCGAACGGGUGAGUAACACGUGAGUAACCUGCCCUUGACUUUGGGAUAACUUCAGGAAACUGGGGCUAAUACCGGAUAGGAGCUCCUGCUGCAUGGUGGGGGUUGGACAGUUUCGGCGGUUGGGGAUGGACUCGCGGCUUAUCAGCUUGUUGGUGGGGUAGUGGCUUACCAAGGCUUUGACGGGUAGCCGGCCUGAGAGGGUGAACGGCCACAUUGGGACUGCGAUAGGGACCAGACGGCUACGGUAGGCAGCGGUGGGGAGUCUUGCACAACGGGGCGAAGCCUGAGGAAGCAACGCUGCGUUCGGGAUGACGGCUUUCGGGGGGUAAACCGCUUUAGCCUGUGACGAAGCGUGAGUGACGGUAAUGGGUAAAGAAGCACCGGCUAACUACGUG